rnacentral:tRNA from 1 species
GAAGGUGGCUCAGUGGUAGAGUGCUUGCCUUGCAUGCAUGAAGCCCUGGGUUCAAUUCCUCAGCACCAUCC